GCUUGUCUCAAAGAUUAAGCCAUGCAUAUCUAAGAAUAACUAACAUUAUCUUGAAUCUGUGAAUGGCUCAUUAUAUCAGUUAUAGUUUACAUGAUAGUCAAUACUACUUGGAUAACCGUAGUAAUUCUAGAGCUAAUACAUGCAUCAAACCCCGACUUCUGGAAGGGGUGUAUUUAUUAGAUGGAAACCAAUGCAGGGCAACCUGGAAUAUGGUGAUUCAUAAUAACUCGCGGAUCGGUUUACCGAUGCAUCAUUCAAGUUUCUGCCCUAUCAGCUUUGGAUGGUAGGGUAUUGGCCUACCAUGGCUUUAACGGGUAACGGAGAAUUAGGGUUCGAUUCCGGAGAGGGAGCCUGAGAAAUGGCUACCACAUCCAAGGAAGGCAGCAGG
rnacentral:rRNA from 1 species